UACGGAGGAUGCGAGCGUUAUCCGGAUUUAUUGGGUUUAAAGGGUGCGUAGGCGGGUUAUCAAGUCAGCGGUAAAAUCGUGGAGCCCAACUCCAUCCAGCCGUUGAAACUGAUGAUCUUGAGUGGGCGAGAAGUAUGCGGAAUGCGUGGUGUAGCGGUGAAAUGCAUAGAUAUCACGCAGAACUCCGAUUGCGAAGGCAGCAUACCGGCGCCCGACUGACGCUGAAGCACGAAAGCGUGGGUAUCGAACAGG
rnacentral:rRNA from 1 species